CCCACUCUCAAGCCAAUCGGCUUUGAUCAGGUGUAGUAUCUGUUCUUGCCAGUUUAACACCUGGCAUAUCCGUAAGGAUGUUUAUUCUUUGGAAAACAGGACUUUUACAGUGGAUGCACUUGUGUGAUUGCUGUAAAUUGAAUAGUCCUGGGUCUUUUAAGACCAUUUUAUUUUAAAUUUU
rfam:Nosema bombycis CQ1 unplaced genomic scaffold NBO_418, whole genome shotgun sequence.